GGACAUUCUUUCCCAACAAAUAUACUACUCUUUUGCUACAGAGAGUCACAAACAUUUCAAAGAAGAAAGGAAACCCAAAACGGAGAUAUGGCAAAGAUUCAGAGGUGUAACUAUGUUAUGUAUCUCUUGGUUUUAAUAUUGUUGAUGAUGAAUAUUUUCUUUUUUAUUAAAGAGUUGGAGUCAAAGAGCAAAUGCAGCGAGCAGGAGAAGAAGAAGCUGAGUUGGAGCCAGAGAGCAGCAGAGGAAGCAGAAGCAGUAGCCUCAAUUUCAUGCUCAGGCCAUGGAAAAGCCUAUCUUGAUGGCCUUGUUGUAGGUGGAAUUCCUACUUGUGAAUGUUAUACUUGUUAUGCUGGACCUGAUUGCUCUUUACUUAUCCCCAACUGUUCUGCUAAUGCUUUCGACUGACCUCCCUUAUGGUUUACAAUAUUACACUUACCUUUCUUAUUUAGAUUUCUUUGUAAUAAGCAUAGGGGGAGCUAGGGGUGCGGAAGGAAAUUCAUCCGAACCCCCUUCGCAGGAAAAUAUACUAGGCCAAAAUUAUCUUUUAUUGAUGUAUAGUAUAUAUUGAAUCCCAGCUUUUGAGCCGAGAGUCUAAUGGAAACAACCUCUCUCCCCUCAUAAGAUAGAGGUAAGGCCUGCGUACACAUUACCCUUCCCAGACCUUACUGUCUGAUAUUGCAGUCAUUGCACUUGGUAUGUUAUUGUCGUUGUUAUUGUUAUGUUGAAUCCCGUUGACUUCUUUGUACAAUAACAGCAACAACCCAGUGGGGUCCGAAGAGGCUAGGAUAUAGUUGGGAUCCCCUAUUCUAUGAGCCAUUCUGGAUGGAAAAUGCAGAAAGCAGUGCAGUAGUGAUAGCAGGUUGGCAUAGAAUGGCUUAUUCCUUUCCUGAUCCAACCUCUCACCUUUCCCAGGAACUCGAGAAAACCAUAAGGAAGUUACAUUCAGUUGCAAAUAACGCAAUUACAGAUGGAAGAUACAUCGCUAUUGGUAAAUAGAUGAGGUGGGCUGUUGUGAAGGACGUGAAUGUGUAUAAUAGAACGAAGGAGUAUAUUCAUCAGGCUGAUAUGGAGAUGUCUAAAGAUACCCUAUUGGGAGCUUUAACUAUUCUGGGAGUUGUUACUGAAGGAGAUGGCAAGAAAUUCUUCAAUUUUGCACAUGAAAUCUUGAGGGAUCGCUGGGAAAAAAUUAGUCACAUCUUCUCCUUUUCUAAACGUUUCAGCAUUCAACAUAUUCCAACUCAGUAUUGCACAUUUCUUAACCGAGCAAGAGAACCAUCUCCAGGAUCUGAUCAUAUUGUUCUUGAGUAAGCACUCAAGCUGGGGAGAAAAAUUGAGGAGUAGGUUGAGGAAGAUCAGAAGAUUGAAAUCCUCUAGCAGUAAAUGCAUUGUUCACCUGAGGACCUGAAUAACCUCUUCUCUUGGCCUUGAAAUCAAUAGGGUAUCCAUGGAGCUUAUACAUUCACAUGGGUAAAGUGCAAAAGGGAAGAAGAUAAAAACUGCACACAUGUCUUCUUGGAAGAAGCAAACAUCAGAGGUCAUCCGGGCAGCGGAUUCUUUGCAGAUCAUACUUAUGUUCGCCUCGGUCUGGUAACGCGUCAGCAUGAUUUUGAUAUGCUCAUUUCUCGAUUGGAACAAUUCAUUUCUCAAGAAGAAGAGAACGGUUAUUGUAUAUCGCCAUCAAUCAACAACCAGUGAUCAACUCUUUUAGGUAUGCUUGUCCCGAUCUGGAUCUUUGAGCUAUAAUACUAUUUAAUCUAUUACAGAGCAACUCAAUUUGGAUUC